GAUGAAGAACGUAGCGAAAUGCGAUACGUAAUGUGAAUUGCAGAUUUCAGUGAAUCAUCGAAUCUUUGAACGCACAUUGCGCCCGCCAGUAUUCUGGCGGGCAUGCCUGUUCGAGCGUCAUUUCAACCAUCAAGCGCCUCGCUUGUGUUGGGGCCCUGCGGCUGCCGCAGGCCCCUAAUCCAGUGGCGGGCUCGUCGUCGUACCGAGUGCAGUAAACAUCCUCGCUCAGGGAACCCGACGGGUGCCGGCCGUGAAACCCCCCCUCCUCAAGGUUGACCUCGGAUCAGGUAGGAAUACCCGCUGAACUUAAGCAUAUCAAUAAGCGGAGGA
rnacentral:misc_RNA from 1 species